AGUAACACGUGAGCAACCUGCCCCCUACUUCGGGAUAAGCCUUGGAAACGGGGUCUAAUACCGGAUAUGAACACGUGCCGCAUGGUGGGUGUUGGAAAGUUUUUCGGUGGGGGAUGGGCUCGCGGCCUAUCAGCUUGUUGGUGGGGUAAUGGCCUACCAAGGCGUCGACGGGUAGCCGGCCUGAGAGGGCGACCGGCCACACUGGGACUGAGACACGGCCCAGACUCCUACGGGAGGCAGCAGUGGGGAAUAUUGCACAAUGGGCGAAAGCCUGAUGCAGCGACGCCACGUGAGGGAUGACGGCCUUCGGGUUGUAAACCUCUUUCAGCAGGGAAGAAGCGUAAGUGACGGUACCUGCAGAAGAAGCGCCGGCUAACUACGUGCCAGCAGCCGCGGUAAUACGUAGGGCGCAAGCGUUGUCCGGAAUUAUUGGGCGUAAAGAGCUCGUAGGCGGUCUGUCCCGUCUGGUGUGAAAUCCCAUGGCUCAACUGUGGGCUUGCAUCGGGUACGGGCAGACUAAGUGCUGUAGGGGGAGACUGGAAUUCCUGGUGUACCGGUGAAAAUGCCAUAUUCAGAGGACCCGAUGGCAAGGCGGUCUCGGGCAGUUACUGACGCUGAGGAGCGAAAGCAUGGGGAGCGAACAGGAUUAGAUACCCUGGUAGUCCAUGCCGUAAACGUUGGGCACUAGGUGUGGGGCCAGUUCCACUGGUUCUGUGCCGUAGCUAACGCAUUAAGUGCCCCGCCUGGGGAGUACGGCCGCAAGGCUAAAACUCAAAGGAAUUGACGGGGGCCCGCACAAGCGGCGGAGCAUGCGGAUUAAUUCGAUGCAACGCGAAGAACCUUACCAAGGCUUGACAUGUACGAGAACGCCCCAGAGAUGGGGUUCUCUUUGGACACUCGUACACAGGUGGUGCAUGGUUGUCGUCAGCUCGUGUCGUGAGAUGUUGGGUUAAGUCCCGCAACGAGCGCAACCCUUAUCCUAUGUUGCCAGCGGGUUAUGCCGGGGACUCAUGGGAGACUGCCGGGGUCAACUCGGAGGAAGGUGGGGAUGACGUCAAAUCAUCAUGCCCCUUAUGUCUUGGGCUUCACGCAUGCUACAAUGGCCGGUACAGAGGGCUGCGAUACCGUGAGGUGGAGCGAAUCCCAAAAAGCCGGUCUCAGUUCGGAUCGGGGUCUGCAACUCGACCCCGUGAAGUCGGAGUCGCUAGUAAUCGCAGAUCAGCAACGCUGCGGUGAAUACGUUCCCGGGCCUUGUACACACCGCCCGUCAAGUCACGAAAGUUGGUAACACCCGAAGCUCACGGCCCAACCCCUUGUGGGAGGGAGUGGUCGAAGGUGGGACUGGCGAUUGGGACUAAGUCGUAACA
rnacentral:rRNA from 1 species